rnacentral:lncRNA from 1 species
AGAGAGAGUGAGAGAGAGAACGAACACACUCAGAGAGAACACACAAAGAAAAGACAGAAAGGGCAGGGGGUCUCCAUUAGACGGAAUUGACCAGAAGCAUGCGGCCAAGAGAAGUGCCCCCUGAGGACAGACUGAUAGACCAAGUUAGCCCGGGCGAGACUCAAACUACAGCAACCGGUCCAGGCAUUGAGGUUAAAUGCAGCUCUUCACAGCUGGAGUGCUCCGCGAUUCCACCACGGGGACGUUAGUGCUUGUAUACCGUCUGUUGCUUUGCUUGGGAUGAGGGACCCGAGAAGUCGUCCCACACAGCUUCGCAGCCUAAAGCGAAGCUCCAGGUCCGGUUCCCAGGAGGACAGAGAGGGCUCCUUAAAAGCCUUCCCACCAAGGGCUCCUUUGCAAGUCCUGGAGUGCCUUCCCAGGGGGAGCUCAGACCUGCCGCAAGCCACUCUGUUCUGACCUGCCUCUACCUGGUGCGGCUACCCGGGGGCCGCCAAGCCUCCGUUCCCCUUCUCUUCCCCCCGUUCGGCCGCUGACCUGCACCGCGGGCAGCUGGAAGGCCGGGGUCCCACAGCGCAGAGAGGCCCGCGGGCCCGCUUUCUGCGCCGCGGCCUGAGCUCACCCACCUGAUGCUCCUUCACCACUUCGCUGAGGCAGGGGUACCGCUCCGAGAUCCAUCGGUAAAACUUGGGGACUCCCAUUUUGACCGUCGACACUAAUUCCAGUCGGUGCAGAAACGAAACCAAACACCCCGCCCGGGCCUCCGCCGCCGCCUCCGGCCGUCGCUCGGAGGAUGACAACACAAGGUCCGCCAGACCAUAGAGCAAACCGUGGGCCUAGAGGGGCAGGACGGCGCUGGUGGGCGGUGGGUCCUGUCUAUCCCGCUGCCUCGCUCUUCCAUACUCGUUGGUGACAGCGCAAGAGGUGUGAUUUGCGCAUUAUUCCUGCCUCAAGUUCCUUUGAUGAUGGGCUGUGAUGUGGAAGGCUGAAUCUAUGGACUUUUUCAUCUUCCUGUGAUAGCUGAUAGCAACCCAAAGAAGAUAGGUCAUCGAAACCGAAAUUACCUUCUAAUCUUCCUCCAGAAUUGUAAAAGGAGAAAAAUUUUGAUGUUCUUAAAGAUGGAUCCAUUAGCCUUAAUUUACUCUCAAGGACCCACUCUGGUACUAUUUGUUGUAGCUGUUAUUUAGUUGCUAGGACUUGAAAUCAAGACCUAGAACAUACAGGGUAAGUACUCUACUACUGAACUAUACCUUAGAUUGACUUUUUCUUUAAUCUAGAUCAGACUUAAAUAUAUUGUCAAAUUUAGAAAUGUUAAACAACUCCAAUUUCAUGAAACUAAGUCUCUGUAAAAUGAACUGAUCUGCCCAUGUUCACAUAGCUAGUAACUAACUCACGAUUAAAGUUCAUACCUUCCAUGCACAUCUGUUGGAACAUACUUCUUCAGGACUCCAGCUUAUACAGAAGGCAAGCUGAAUCUCCUAGCCUCACAGGACUGAGCAACUACUAGACUCUUGGACUUCCCAUUCACAGCUGCCUAUUGGGUUGGUUGAACUGGAGACUUAAGUCAUUACAAUAAAUUCCCUUAAUAUAUACAUUCCCUAAGUCCUGUGACUUUAGAGAAUCCUGACUAAUUCAUGAAAAAGGAUUUGAUACUACAAAUGACCUGUUUCUUACCAUACUUUUGCCUUAAUUUUUUCUUUUUAAAAAUUUGGGACAUGAUAUCAUUUGCAGCCAUGACUGACACUGAACUCAUGUUCCUCCUGUCUUGGACUUCCUGAGUGCUGGGAUCACAGGCAAGCAUCACCACCUUUAACUACCUGGGUCUAUUACUAUUAGAACCUGUUUAUAAUAAUUGCCUAUGACGUUUGCUAGUUUGUAAUAUUCUAUUUCCUCAAUCUUGCAUUAUUCAUUCCAAUUUUACUACAAUGAAGACCUUUUCCUACUUACUUUUUUUGAAAAGAUUUGAUUAUAUAAGUAUGAAGGUACAUUUGUUUUAUUUCAUGGGUUAUAAUUAAUUAUGACCAACAUCAUUUUUCUAAGAUUAUCCAAAGCUAGGACAGCUUUCUAAUUUUCUGACAGAAAACUAACUUUUGUUAUUCAUAGAAUAUUUGCUUCUUUGCUAUAGACGGAUGAAGUAAUUUCAUAAUCGCUAACAAAUAUUUCAGAAAAGUAAAUGUUCAGAUUUUUUUUUUUUUCUGGUAAGCUACCUCAAAAGUUUUUUGCGCCGAAAACAAAAAGAAAGGGUUCAAAGGAAGGAAGGGAAGGAAGACCUUGCAUGCUUCUGUAUAUAGAAUAUAAAUUUCACUAGGCUUAGGUAAAAUAUGUACAUUGAUAUGAUAAACAUUAUUAUAUACAUAUUUUACAUCAUAUAGAUAACAACCUCACAGUAUAUACUUCUAUCAUAAGAAUAAAUAUAAUACCCUUUUCUUUAUAUAUUUUGGUCAGAAUAGGUCUCAAGCCAGCAGUAUUGUUCACCCAUUCAAUAAUCCCACAUUCAUCAUUCAGUGGAAUAACUGCAUAUGUUCGGAUAUGAAGUUCUCUUCGACGUGAUUCUGCAUCUUUUCUUAAGCUCUAUGGAAAACAAAGACAGAAAUAAAAAUAAAAUAGGAUUCAGAUUCCUAUUAUGUCAAAUAUAUCUAAAUAUUGUUCAUUUCCUAGUAAAAGUGCUGAUGGCAGCCUGUAAUGCAUAGUUCUGAAAGUUAGAAGAAGAAGCUAUGGGAUCAUCGCUAUCCUACUUCUAAACCUUAAGAUGCCUUGGAGUAGCUUCUCUUUAGUUCUCUACUAUGCAUGUAACAGAAUACUACAUUUGAAAAAGCAGUAUUUAUAGCCAUAUCAACAACAAAACACUAUUGUUUUCUUUUCUACAGCAUUAGAGAUAAUGAUUAAUAAUAAGUACUUAAGCACAGAGACUAUAAUGUUUAAUUUUAUCUAAGAAUUGUUAUUUUACUUUCCUCAUCAUAAGGAAUCAUACUAUCUAUCCCCCCACCCCCAAAUCCCCAAUCCUGUGCUGUAUGUAAGUCUGUGUAUAAAUAGACAUAAUUAAUCUUUUAUUCUGAGACUGGGUCUUGCUUGCCAAACUUUCUAAUAAAAAAUGAGUUCUAUUAGUC